rnacentral:rRNA from 1 species
AUUGAACGCUGGCGGCAGGCCUAACACAUGCAAGUCGAGCGGUAACAGGGGAAGCUUGCUUCUCGCUGACGAGCGGCGGACGGGUGAGUAAUGUAUGGGGAUCUGCCCGAUAGAGGGGGAUAACCACUGGAAACGGUGGCUAAUACCGCAUAAUCUCUUAGGAGCAAAGCAGGGGAACUUCGGUCCUUGCGCUAUCGGAUGAACCCAUAUGGGAUUAGCUAGUAGGUGAGGUAAUGGCUCACCUAGGCGACGAUCCCUAGCUGGUCUGAGAGGAUGAUCAGCCACACUGGGACUGA